GAAAAAGACAGGAGGAGAGGGAAGCUCUCUGAGAGACUGAAAACUUACCUAAAUGAGACACCAGGCCCUAGCAGCUAUUACAAGAUCAGAUUGGAUUAAAUUUAAACUGGUUGGGCAUUUAGUUUUUCUAAAUGCCCAGAUGGUGAGAGUUCUUCCAGUUGCAGUUCCAAGCAGACCACAGCCAGACAGCAGAAUGCACAGUCUGCGCAACUACUCUAUCACUACUCGAUUUGCAUGCCAGGACAGGACAGGACUCUCCGGUGACUAUUGUGUCCAUCUUUAUGUCCAUAUGUGCCCAAUGUUUAGCUCCCACUUUCAAGUGAGUACCUCCAGUAUUUGGUUUUCUGCUCCUAUGUUAAUUCAUUCAGAAUAAUGACCUUAGCCUCAUCCCUGUUGCUACAAAAGACAUGACUUCAUUCUUUUUUUUGUGUCAAGCCUGUAUAUAAUUGUGGAAAGUAAAAGGCCCCUAUAAUUCUCAGUCAUUGUGGAAAGUGAAAGGUCUUUGCCAUGAACAUUUUUAAACAACUUUAUCAAGAUAUAAUUCACAUAACAUGCAACUCACCCAUUUAAAG
rnacentral:lncRNA from 13 species